AGAGCGUCUUGUGGCUGCGGCCUGCCCCUCAGCCUCCUCCGCGCGGUUACCCCUGUACCCGCCGCCAUCCGUCCUGGCGCUCCGGAUGAGUCAAUGAGGGGCAGGGCCCGAGGAGUGGUCUUCCCAAGAACCCCUGGUGGCCUCCCAAGGCCGGUGCUGUGUACCUCCUCCCCGACAAAAGGGGAAACUGAGGCCCCGAGGGGAGUGGGAAGAGCCGGCUGGACGUCAGGCCCAGCCGCUGGUGCAGUGGUCCGUCCCCUCUGCCGGGGUGGGCCCCUCGGGUUUCGCGUGUCCUCGGGAAAGAGACUGGCGGGUGAGCCGCGCCCUCGGCCUUCGCUGGGCUAAGCCGACCCCAUGCAGACGUCAAACCCCCCUAGGUCGGCACAGCCUCUCUGCGGGGAGGCUUAGUGCCCCCUUGAGAAACGGCUUGGCAACGCUGUGCCCGGGGCCUUGCACGCGGGCUGAGGGGGCUAGAGACCUCGCGACUUUUACUCCCCCGACCCCGAUCUCCGACUCCUGACUUUGGAAGCCCCCAAAGCUGCUUUUCGGUUGCCUACAAAGUGUCGGUCAUUGUGCCACGUCCUUGGAACCGUGAACUCAUUUUCUCCUCAAUAACCUUUAAAAAGUAGCUGUAAAACCUCCAUUUUACAGACCAGUUGGCUGAGGUUUAAAUGGAGGACGCUCCCAGGGCCCCAGAGGGGCGAAUUCCAGACUCCUUUGCCAGGACCUUGUACUAAGCCCCUUCCCUACGCUUUUCCCUGCCUAGGCCUCGUGGGCUGUGCGGCUAUCCUGGAGACAGAUGACAGCUCUCCCUUGGAUGGCUUUGCUGGUUCCGCACCAGCCAGCGCCCCCAUUUUUCCUGCAGCACCCUGAUCUGCACUCCCUGAGGGGCUCCCACUGUCCGCGGUGUGAGGAUGUCCCUGGAUAGUCCACUGUGUGCAGAGGCAUGGGAGUUGUCAUGUUGGGAACAUGCUAGACCUCAGUAUCCUUGAGGUAAGAUCUCUGGUUCAUUCUCUGGAAUGUUGGUUCCUUGUAUCUAGUACAGUUCUGUACAUGUUCCCAGGGGCUUUGGGGUUGGUGUAGGGGAGCUGAGAGGUGAGAUGAGAAUGGCACUGUGGGUCCCCAGAUCCGCUGUCCACCCAGCCAACCCAGAUCACCUCUGGCCUUUCCUGUGCCUUCCGGGCUUGCUGCUGGGGGGAAACCUCCAGAGUCCCACUUUGGUAAUAAGAGGUCUCUGCCCUUUCUCCCUGGGCAGCAGGAUGUUGUAAUGGAAAAUGAGUGGACCUAGGCUUCAGAGACUCUGGUCCCCUGGCUUUGAAUCCCCUUCUGCCACUAUCCCAGUCAAGGACUGAUUCAGAACCUAAUUUUCUUCAUUUGGAAAAUAAUGUUCUGAUAGAGGUGACUUUUGUGGUACUUGAGACCAUAUGAUUCCUAUCAUUACCAACCAAUAUUUUCCGAUUGUUUUUGCCCCAUGUGACUUCUCUGUGAUUCCUCCUGGCAAGGAAGUUUUACAGGAAAGCAGGGCCACUUUUGGGAUCCUGUGCUGGGCUGGAUCAUUUUCCUGGACUGGACCUAGUCCACAAGCUGCUGGCAUCUGUUUCUCCUCAUGGAUCUCUCUCUGCCCUUGUAUACACCUGCAUUCAAAAAUGAUCACGGGCUGCCUGUGCUCUGGUCAUCAAUAACGCAGGGAGAGGAAUUGCUGAAAGCCGUUUCCCGUGUUUGGAGGGUUCACACCUGUCCCUUUCAAAUGCUGGCGCUUUCACACACUCCUUCUCUCCUGCCAGCACCUUCUGGUCUCAGGAGCAUUGCAGGAUGUUGUGUGAGUGAGUGAUGGGAGACACUUUAGUAUGGCUUUUUUCAGCUUAGCCUCCUGUUAUCAGAGAGCAGUCUCUUUCAGUGUCAAGGUUUGAGUACUAGAUGGUGGAGAAAGCCUGUGUGAAUUAUUUUUAAUGAAUAAGUGUGAUGAUGGGUGGCAUACAGUCACUGCCUUAAGAUUUUCAAAGAGAAGCAGCCUUUUGGAGGUGGUGGGCCUGGGCAGGUCUUUCAAGGAGUGGGAUGUGAUGGGCAGUAGAAAGGUAUUCCAGGGAGGGGUAGCAACAUGAGAAGGUCUUUCAAGGAUUGGGAUGUGAUGGGCAGUAGAAAGGUAUUCCAGGGAGGGGUAGCAGCAUGAGAAGGUCUUUGAGUCUGGGAUGAGCAAGAGUGUCUAGUCCCACCAGGGAGACAGAUGUGUAGGCAAGUAAUGACAGCAUGGAGGGAUGGCUGCUGGGGUGAUCCUUGGCUCCCAGCACGGCGAGGUGGACAUCUAUGGGAGGGGCCCUGAGAGGUCUCUUGAGCUGUCUUUCUGCCAGUUGCACAUCUGCUCAGUUGCCUGUUAAGACUCUUAAGACAGUUUUGCUGGACUCUUAAGUUUUUAUUUUGAUAUUCUUUGGGAGCAUUGAGAUUCCUUUUUGAGAUGAGUUUGGUAUGAAAGAAACUGGCAACUCAUACCUGAUUGAUUAACUGGGGGCAUUCCCAUUGACAUCAGCUUGAAGAAAGACGACAGAACACUGGAGACCAAGUACUUACAGCCUUCUGCUCUGUGGCCCCUCCUCACUCCAGGGAUGCUGCCUUGGGUCUGGAAACUGUUAGAGGAAACCCCAAGAGGUGCAGGCACUGAGCCUCUCAGGACAAUGACCUGGGGUCCCAGCUCCCCUGGAGGGGCCUCCUCAUGAUUGUUUGGGGGUUGAUCACAGACCAAGAGUGACGAGUGAUGUCACCCUGUGACUCAUGGCUGGACCUUCUUGCCCCUAUUGUCUCAGCACAACAUUAUUCGACUUUUCCCUCAGCGUGGGUGGGCAGAGGAAAAGCCCUGUGGCUCUGGGGACUUGGGAUCCAGAGUUGAAGACCCUUCAGCUGGCUCUGCCCUGCCAGUGCCACAGAGUGCCAUGGCCCAGGAAGACAGGUUUUCUUCCAUCUAGGCCAGGCCAUCCAGUGGCCAUCCUCCGUGUCCUCCCGCCUCCUCCUGGUGUGACUUCUGAAAACCAAGAAUUUGUUCCUGUUGACUUUUUCUGUGCUAUGGACCAUUGUCCUCUCACCCACUCAAUAAAUCUUGAAACAUGCCCUGCUGCUUGUUCUUUCA
rnacentral:lncRNA from 1 species